rnacentral:rRNA from 1 species
UACGAAGGGUGCAAGCGUUAAUCGGAAUUACUGGGCGUAAAGCGUGCGCAGGCGGUGAUGUAAGACAGGUGUGAAAUCCCCGGGCUUAACCUGGGAACUGCAUUUGUGACUGCAUUGCUGGAGUGCGGCAGAGGGGGAUGGAAUUCCGCGUGUAGCAGUGAAAUGCGUAGAUAUGCGGAGGAACACCGAUGGCGAAGGCAAUCCCCUGGGCCUGCACUGACGCUCAUGCACGAAAGCGUGGGGAGCAACCAGG